rnacentral:rRNA from 1 species
GAUGAACGCUGGCGGCGUGCCUAAUACAUGCAAGUCGAGCGAACAGACGAGGAGCUUGCUCCUCUGACGUUAGCGGCGGACGGGUGAGUAACACGUGGAUAACCUACCUAUAAGACUGGGAUAACUUCGGGAAACCGGAGCUAAUACCGGAUAAUAUAUUGAACCGCAUGGUUCAAUAGUGAAAGACGGUUUUGCUGUCACUUAUAGAUGGAUCCGCGCCGCAUUAGCUAGUUGGUAAGGUAACGGCUUACCAAGGCAACGAUGCGUAGCCGACCUGAGAGGGUGAUCGGCCACACUAGAACUGAGACACGGUCCAGACUCCUACGGGAGGCAGCAGUAGGGAAUCUUCCGCAAAGGGCGAAAGCCUGACGGAGCAACGCCGCGUGAGUGAUGAAGGUCUUCGGAUCGUAAAACUCUGUUAUUAGGGAAGAACAAAUGAGUAAGUAACUAUGCACGUCUUGACGGUACCUAAUCAGAAAGCCACGGCUAACUACGUG